GAUGAAGAACGCAGCGAAAUGCGAUAAGUAAUGUGAAUUGCAGAAUUCAGUGAAUCAUCGAAUCUUUGAACGCACAUUGCGCCCGCCAGUAUUCUGGCGGGCAUGCCUGUUCGAGCGUCAUUACAACCCUCAGGCCCCCGGGCCUGGCGUUGGGGAUCGGCGGAGCCCCCCGUGGGCACACGCCGUCCCCCAAAUGCAGUGGCGGUCCCGCCGCAGCUUCCAUCGCGUAGUUGCUAACACCUCGCGACUGGAGAGCGGCGCGGCCACGCCGUAAAACACCCAACUCUUCUGAAGUUGACCUCGAAUCAGGUAGGAAUACCCGCUGAACUUAAGCAUAUCAAUAAGCGGAGGA
rnacentral:misc_RNA from 1 species